GACGAACGCUGGCGGCGUGCUUAACACAUGCAAGUCGAACGAUGAUCAGGAGCUUGCUCCUGUGAUUAGUGGCGAACGGGUGAGUAACACGUGAGUAACCUGCCCCUGACUCUGGGAUAAGCGUUGGAAACGACGUCUAAUACUGGAUAUGAUCACUGGCCGCAUGGUCUGGUGGUGGAAAGAUUUUUUGGUUGGGGAUGGACUCGCGGCCUAUCAGCUUGUUGGUGAGGUAAUGGCUCACCAAGGCGACGACGGGUAGCCGGCCUGAGAGGGUGACCGGCCACACUGGGACUGAGACACGGCCCAGACUCCUACGGGAGGCAGCAGUGGGGAAUAUUGCACAAUGGGCGAAAGCCUGAUGCAGCAACGCCGCGUGAGGGAUGACGGCCUUCGGGUUGUAGACCUCUUUUAGUAGGGAAGAAGCGAAAGUGACGGUACCUGCAGAAAAAGCACCGGCUAACUACGUG
rnacentral:rRNA from 1 species